AUCAAACCCUCCUCAGUAGUAUCACACGAGUCAGUGAGACGUGCUCUCAAAUCGGCAGAGUGACUGUCACGGCGUUUCAUGCAGGCUGGCGUUAUCUGACACCUGUGGUGUUUAGCUGUUGCAUCCCUCCACAUUUGGAAAUUAAUUUUUGUUUUUUCUUCAUUUACUUCUUAUCCAAUCCUAAUUUCUCAAUGUAUGUGCAUGUCGUACUGAAUGAUGGACAACGGAAAGAGAUUGAUCGCUGUUAAAAGGGCCUUUUGAAAGGCUCUUUAGGGCACAGAUUAAAGUCCAGCAUGAUUUGCAACAUUUCUGGAUACUAAACGAAGAAGAGAAACUUAAGAAUUUUGGGUAUUCAUGACUAGAAGCAAGAAGUUCCAACAUGGGAUGCGGCACAUCCAUUGCCGUUGAGAACCAAACACGACCCUCGGAAACUGAUGGCUCCAUCAAGCAGCCCAGCCCAGCUCUGACCAUGAAAGCUGCCAUACUGAUCCAGCGUUGGUACAGACGCUAUGUUGCUCGCUUGGAGGUGAGAAGACGCUAUACGUGGAACAUCUUUCAGUCCAUUGAGUAUGCAGGGGAACAGGACCAGCUCCAGCUCUCCAGUUUCUUCAGUUUCAUGUUGGACAACUUCACCCAGAUGAAUGGGAAUGGACCAGACUUGAUCUCUCACCUCCUGGACUCUGUGGUUGACCCGUUAACUGAGGAGGUCAGGCAGUUGAAGUACGAGCAGAUUGUCGUGCCGGAAUCGUACAGCGGUCCUCGUCUCUCCUUCCCGCUCAGCGUGACUGAUACCAAUGCCCUACUCAGCGCCUUUAAAGAGGAGCAGACUCUUCACGGCAAAUAUGUGCUGCUGCUACUAUAUGAAACCAAGAAGUUCUUGAAACAGAUGCCAAACGUCAUAUACCUGUCGACGUCCUAUGCCAAAGAGAUAACUAUAUGUGGCGAUCUGCAUGGUAGACUGGAUGACUUACUGCUUAUAUUUUACAAGAACGGUCUGCCCUCUGCGGAGAACCCCUACAUAUUCAAUGGAGACUUUGUGGAUCGAGGAAAGAAAUCUACAGAGAUUAUCAUCAUUCUGUUUGCCUUCCUACUUCUGUACCCCGACCACAUGCAUCUGAACAGAGGCAACCAUGAGGACCACAUCAUGAACCUCAGAUACGGAUUCACAAAAGAAGUCAUGCAGAAGUAUAAGACUCAUGGCAGGGAAAUCCUGCAGCUUCUUCAGGAUGUGUUCAGCCUGCUUCCUCUUGCAACUGUCAUCGAUAACAAAGUGCUUAUUGUUCACGGUGGCAUAUCGGACAAAACUGAUCUGGACUUUCUGAGCACUGUUGAAAGGCAUAAAGUGAAGUCUGCUCUCAGGUUGCCCAAACGCAGCAUUGAUCAUCUCAACGUCCACGCCUGCAGUCGCAGCAGCAGCAGACACAGCAGAAGAUCCAGACUGGACAGCCCUUGCUCCUCAGGCCGCACCAGUCGUGCUUCCCGCAGGCGGAAGAAGCACUUCACUAAGCAGGGGAGCUGCUCCUCAUCUUCAUCAUCUUCAUCCUCCUCAUCGUCCGUGUGCUCCCCCCGGGUCUCGUCACGGAACACUCCACGUCGACCUCCGCCUUCCCCUAGUCUGCUGAGCCCCACCGAUGUGCUCCAAGUUCCCUUCCUGGACUCCUUUGUCUCCCUAGAGCCCCCCGAGCCACCCAGAGAAGAACUGGAAUGGCAGCAAGUUGUUGAUAUCCUGUGGAGUGACCCUAAAAAUCAAAACGGCUGCAGUCCGAACUCUUUUCGCGGUGGAGGCUGUUACUUUGGGCCAGACGUGACGCAGGCGCUGCUGCAGAAACACGGCCUCUGUCUGCUCAUCAGAUCACAUGAAUGUAAACAGGAGGGCUAUGAGCUCUGCCAAAACGGACAGGUUAUCACUAUUUUCUCUGCAUCUAACUACUACGAAGAGGGCAGUAACCGCGGGGCGUACAUCAAACUGGGGCCUGAAUUGGUCCCACGCUUCUUCCAGUAUCAAGUUAGUCGAAGCACCAGAAAACUCACACUCCAUCAAAGGGUUCGUGUAGCAGAAGGUUCAGCACUCAGGGCUCUGAAAGAGAAGCUGUAUGCUCACCGCUCUGAGCUAAUGGCUGCCUUUCAACAGUAUGACAUAGACAACACAGGUCGCAUCUCCACUAGCGAGUGGACACAGGUGGUGGAGUCUGUGCUGCGAUUGGAUCUGCCAUGGAGAACCCUGCGCCCACGCCUGGCCCGUCUUAGUGCAGAUGGCAAUGUAGAGUAUGAAUCCUGCUUUGAAGACAUCAGCCCUGGAGAGCCCAUCCCUCCGGUAACACCAAACUUGGCUGAAACUCUUUAUAGAUAUAGAACUGACCUAGAGAUAAUAUUUAACAUCAUCGAUAAGGAUCACUCAGGUCAGAUCUCCAUUGAGGAGUUUCGACAGACUUGGAAGCUCUUCAGUUCCCAUUUGGGGGUGGCUGUGAAUGACCAGACGAUAGACGACAUGGCUCGAAGCAUAGACUUUAACAAAGACGGCAGCAUUGAUUUUAAUGAGUUCCUGGAGGCUUUCAGGGUGGUGCAUAAACUAGAUGUCAAAGAGCAGCAGCAGGGUUAAUUCUGGAUGAGCAGAUUACAGACAAGGCAGAUUUACAAAUCAUUUUUGGCAUCUUUAUUUUUCAUUUUAUGGAAGUUAUUCAUUUUCAUUUUCCAGGAUUUCCAUUUUUCAUAAAGACUCCUCUCUAGUGUUCAGUUUGUCUGAGUGAUCUUCAUCUACAGUUUGACACUCUUAGGUUUUCGUCAGCCUCUUUUUAUUUUUUAUUUUUUUGGGGUGGAAUUUGCUCAAUCAUGCUAGGUUGGAGAGGUGCACUUCUGUGUGUAUUUUUGAAUCAACUCUGGACGCAAACACCAGGUACUGCUGAUAAAGGCUGCAGUGGCUUUGGACACUUAGAAAAUGGGCGUAUGUUUUUCCGUUAUGGAGGAUUGUAUGUUACCUUCACUUGUAAUCCAGGAUUCCGGAUCCACGGUUACCGUACUAGCAGCUGUGUAUCUGGACAGUGGGCUAGAGACCCACCACUGUGUGUGGCAUCAGGAUGCCCCAGCCCUGGUGAUCUCCUGCAUGGCAGUACUGUGGUUUCUAAAGACAGAUCUCUGGCCACCUUCAGCUGUGACACUGGAUUCAGUUUGUUUGGAUCUGCGCUUCUCUUCUGCAAGGGGAAAAUCUGGAACGCACUAAGCCUGUAU